rnacentral:rRNA from 1 species
CCUACGGGAGGCAGCAGUGGGGAAUAUUGCACAAUGGGGGAAACCCUGAUGUAGCGACGCCGCGUGAGUGAAGAAGUAAUUCGUUAUGUAAAGCUCUAUCAGCAGGGAAGAAAAUGACUGUACCUGAGUAAGAAGCCCCUGCUAACUACGUGCCAGCAGCCGCGGUAAGACGUAGGGGGCAAGCGUUAUCCGGAUUUACUGGGUGUAAAGGGAGCGUAGACGGCAGUGCAAGUCUGGAGUGAAAGGCGGGGGCUCAACCCCCGGACUGCUCUGGAAACUGUACGGCUGGAGUGCAGGAGAGGUAAGUGGAAUUCCUAGUGUAGCGGUGAAAUGCGUAGAUAUUAGGAGGAACACCAGUGGCGAAGGCGGCUUACUGGACUGUAACUGACGUUGAGGCUCGAAAGCGUGGGGAGCAAACAGGAUUAGAUACCCGAGUAGUC